GCUGGCCUAGUGGUUAGAACGUCCGUCUCAGAUGCGGGAGGUCGUGGGUUCGAUCCCUGGCAGAGUCA